rnacentral:rRNA from 1 species
ACGGGUGAGUAAUACAUCGGAACGUAUCCUGGAGUGGGGGAUAGCCCGGCGAAAGCCGGAUUAAUACCGCAUACGCUCUGAGGAGGAAAGCGGGGGACCUUCGGGCCUCGCGCUCAAGGGGCGGCCGAUGGCGGAUUAGGUAGUUGGUGGGGUAAAGGCCUACCAAGCCGACGAUCCGUAGCUGGUCUGAGAGGACGACCAGCCACACUGGGACUGAGACACGGCCCAGACUCCUACGGGAGGCAGCAGUGGGGAAUUUUGGACAAUGGGGGCAACCCUGAUCCAGCAAUGCCGCGUGUGUGAAGAAGGCCUUCGGGUUGUAAAGCACUUUUGUCCGGAAAGAAAUCAUCGGGGCCAAUACCCCUGGUGGAUGACGGUACCGGAAGAAUAAGCACCGGCUAACUACGUGCCAGCAGCCGCGGUAAUACGUAGGGUGCGAGUGUUAAUCGGAAUUACUGGGCGUAAAGCGUGCGCAGGCGGUGCUGUAAGACCGAUGUGAAAUCCCCGGGCUUAACCUGGGAACUGCAUUGGUGACUGCAGCGCUGGAGUAUGGCAGAGGGGGGUGGAAUUCCACGU